AUUAAACGCUGGCGGCAUGCCUUACACAUGCAAGUCGAACGGCAGCAUGGGUGCUUGCACCUGAUGGCGAGUGGCGGACGGGUGAGUAAUACAUCGGAACGUACCUUGGAGUGGGGGAUAACGUAGCGAAAGUUACGCUAAUACCGCAUAUUCUGUGAGCAGGAAAGCAGGGGAUCGCAAGACCUUGCGCUCUGGGAGCGGCCGAUGUCGGAUUAGCUAGUUGGUGGGGUAAAGGCCUACCAAGGCGACGAUCCGUAGCGGGUCUGAGAGGAUGAUCCGCCACACUGGGACUGAGACACGGCCCAGACUCCUACGGGAGGCAGCAGUGGGGAAUUUUGGACAAUGGGCGGAAGCCUGAUCCAGCCAUGCCGCGUGAGUGAAGAAGGCCUCGG
rnacentral:rRNA from 1 species